GAUGAACGCUGGCGGCGUGCCUAAUACAUGCAAGUCGAGCGAACGGACGAGAAGUUUGCUUCUCUGAUGUUAGCGGCUGACGGGUGAGUAACACGUGGAUAACCUACCUAUAAGACUGGGAUAACUUCGGGAAACCGGAGCUAAUACCGGAUAAUAUUUUGAACCGCAUGGUUCAAAAGUGAAAGACGGUCUUGCUGUCACUUAUAGAUGGAUCCGCGCUGCAUUAGCUAGUUGGUAAGGUAACGGCUUACCAAGGCAACGAUGCAUAGCCGACCUGAGAGGGUGAUCGGCCACACUGGAACUGAGACACGGUCCAGACUCCUACGGGAGGCAGCAGUAGGGAAUCUUCCGCAAUGGGCGAAAGCCUGACGGAGCAACGCCGCGUGAGUGAUGAAGGUCUUCGGAUCGUAAAACUCUGUUAUUAGGAAAGAACAUAUGUGUAAGUAACUGUGCACAUCUUGACGGUACCUAAUCAGAAAGCCACGGCUAACUACGUG
rnacentral:rRNA from 1 species